GCUGGGUGGAUUAGUGGCGAACGGGUGAGUAACACGUGAGUCUCCUGCCCUUGACUCUGGGAUAAGCGCUGGAAACGGCGUCUAAUACCGGAUACGACCUGCCCCGGCAUCGGGUGUGGGUGGAAAGUUUUUCGGUCAAGGAUGGACUCGCGGCCUAUCAGCUUGUUGGUGAGGUAAUGGCUCACCAAGGCGACGACGGGUAGCCGGCCUGAGAGGGUGACCGGCCACACUGGGACUGAGACACGGCCCAGACUCCUACGGGAGGCAGCAGUGGGGAAUAUUGCACAAUGGGCGCAAGCCUGAUGCAGCAACGCCGCGUGGGGGAUGACGGCCUUCGGGUUGUAAACCUCUUUUAGUAGGGAAGAAGGACUUCGGUUUGACGGUACCUGCAGAAAAAGCACCGGCUAACUACGUGCCAGCAGCCGCGGUAAUACGUAGGGUGCAAGCGUUGUCCGGAAUUAUUGGGCGUAAAGAGCUCGUAGGCGGUUUGUCGCGUCUGCUGUGAAAACCCGAGGCUCAACCUCGGGCCUGCAGUGGGUACGGGCAGACUAGAGUGCGGUAGGGGAGAAUGGAAUUCCUGGUGUAGCGGUGGAAUGCGCAGAUAUCAGGAGGAACACCGAUGGCGAAGGCAGUUCUCUGGGCCGUAACUGACGCUGAGGAGCGAAAGCGUGGGGAGCGAACAGGAUUAGAUACCCUGGUAGUCCACGCCGUAAACGUUGGGCGCUAGAUGUGGGGACCUUUCCACGGUUUCCGUGUCGCAGCUAACGCAUUAAGCGCCCCGCCUGGGGAGUACGGCCGCA
rnacentral:rRNA from 1 species